rnacentral:rRNA from 1 species
AGUGAACGCUGGCGGUAGGCCUAACACAUGCAAGUCGAACGGCAGCACAGUAAGAGCUUGCUCUUACGGGUGGCGAGUGGCGGACGGGUGAGGAAUACAUCGGAAUCUACUUUUUCGUGGGGGAUAACGUAGGGAAACUUACGCUAAUACCGCAUACGACCUACGGGUGAAAGCAGGGGAUCUUCGGACCUUGCGCGAUUGAAUGAGCCGAUGUCGGAUUAGCUAGUUGGCGGGGUAAAGGCCCACCAAGGCGACGAUCCGUAGCUGGUCUGAGAGGAUGAUCAGCCACACUGGAACUGAGACACGGUCCAGACUCCUACGGGAGGCAGCUGUGGGGAAUAUUGGACAAUGGGCGCAAGCCUGAUCCAGCCAUACCGCGUGGGUGAAGAAGGCCUUCGGGUUGUAAAGCCCUUUUGUUGGGAAGGAAAAGCAGCAGGUUAAUACCCCGCUGUUCUGACGGUACCCAAAGAAUAAGCACCGGCUAACUUCGUG